ACGUUCAUCCAUCGGUAGGUUUGCCGCCAUGUUGAUUUUACAAUGACGGAGAUGUCAUUUGGAAAUGGUGGAUCGAAGAAAAACUUAUGGGGAAAAGCAAUGAAGAAGACCAACACCAACACAUUUCUCCAAUGCCUACUGUAAAAAUUGGGAACAACAAGCAAUUCUCGGAUUCAGAAAUAGUUUCAGAACAAACGGAUCAUCUUGCUGAUUCAGCAGAAAUGGAUCAUCUUGCAGUGCAGAAAGGUUACCUGUUCAUGUCAGAACACAUACAUAAGGAGCCACAGCUGGUUUGUUAUCUUUGCCAUUUAUGCAAGUCACCUCUCUCUCUGAUGAUGAAAAGAAAGACAUGAGAGAUGGAAAUGGCUAUUUUAAGAAGAAGGAGCUUCUAAAAUGUCUUAUCUCAAAGGGGGAAACUGCUUGCAAGGAAUUCUUGGAAGAGGGAAGAGUUCAAAUGUUACCAAAAUUUAUAUUCCCAGUUUUGCAAUGCAGUACAGUCUGUAACUAAUGCAGAUGGCAUCCAACAAGAUGUCUUUUUGACACAUGAUAAACUGCCUCAUUUUGAAGCAGUGUUGUUGGAGGAAAUGGAGCCAACUCCAGUGGCUGACAUUCUUUACUGUCAUGCUGUACUAAGUUUCGAUGAGCAUGAUGAAAUCAAUGAAAUGCCAUAUAGAAGAGAGAAAGCAAUGAAACUAUUUACAAAAAUUAGACAGCAGCCAGACAAGAUUACUGUCUUUUGCCAUGCAUUAGAACAAAGCAAGUGUAACAAAGCUGUAGAAUACAUCAGAAACAGUACAAGCAAUGGCCCUUUACACUCUCCAGCUAUUAGUGCAGUAAAGUGUGUUAGAUUCAACUUCAGAAAAAAUUUGGAGUACUCUAAAGAUUGUGCGAGAAAAAAAAAGUUGUUGGAUUACCUGGAAAUUAAUGGAUUCAGGGUAACCAGAACUGGUGAAUUGGUACCAAAGGAGAGCUAUAUAAUCAAAACAGGCAUACGGAAUGGGAAGCCUUGGUGUGAUUGUAUUCUGGAAUGUAUUAAACAGACAGACAUUGUUUUUCUGAAGGUGUUAGUUGGACGACUUGAAAAAAGAAGAAACAAGGGAAGAGAGGGAGUAGACCUUCAGUUCGAUGUUAAAAUGAUGAAGGAUAUGAAAGACUUUCUUCUUGAGGAUUUAGAACCAGUAUCCAUUUCCCAUGUUCUUUUAGAAGAAGAGGCAUUUUCAGUAGAUGAUCAUGAUGCAGUGGAAAACACGAAAGGCAGGCGUAAAAAGGCCGAAGCUCUUUGUGGCAUACUGCUAAGAGAUGGGUCUGAAUUAACAAUGGAAAGUUUUUUGUAUGCAGUGAGAAAAUACAAAUGUAUUAUG
rnacentral:misc_RNA from 1 species